UGUGGACAAGAAUGAAGGGGAGAAGAAAAAGUUCAAGUUCUUAAAGCUCAAGACGAAGCCGAAGAGUGGCUCUGUCCCCGUGAAGCCGGCUGAUGAGACUCAGCAGCUCAGUACUGCUGAUCCCAGUAAACCUGCUGAGGAUGGAGAGGCCUGGGCUGACAACCUUGCUGUAGAGAACAAGAGGUUUUCUUUCUACGGCACCUCACCCAGGUCAAAGGGCAAAGAACUGAGCUACUCAGAGUUGGACCUCCGUAAGCCUAAAAGGUUUGCCACCUUUUCCUUUGGUUUUAAAAAGAGGAAGAAGAAUGAUGAAGAGAAUGUCUCUAAGAGUACUUUCGGCCUUCACAGCACUGACAUUGAAGAGCAA